rnacentral:rRNA from 1 species
AUUCUGGUUGAUCCUGCCAGUAGUUAUAUGCUUGUCUCAAAGAUUAAGCCAUGCAUGUCUAAGUACACACGAAUUAAAAGUGAAACCGCAAAAGGCUCAUUAUAUCAGUUAUGGUUCCUUAGAUCGUUAACAGUUACUUGGAUAACUGUGGUAAUUCUAGAGCUAAUACAUGCAAUUAAAACACGGACCUUUUGGAACGUGUGCUUUUAUUAGGCUAAAACCAAGCGAUCGCUAGAUCGUUACAUUGGUUGAACUCUAGAUAACAUGCAGAUCGUAUGGUCUUGUACCGACGACAGAUCU